GGCCUCGUAGCUCAGCUGGUAGAGCAUGCGCGUACAAAGCGUAGGCGGUGUCCAUGCGUGGGUUUGAAUCCCACCGAGGCUA
rfam:Echinostoma caproni strain Egypt genome assembly, scaffold: ECPE_scaffold0002646